rnacentral:rRNA from 1 species
CGUGCCUACGGGGGGCAGCAGUAGGGAAUUUUCGUCAAUGGGCGCAAGCCUGAACGAGCAAUGCCGCGUGAACGAGGAAGGUCUUCGGAUCGUAAAGUUCUGUUGAAGGGGAAAAAGAGCGGAGAGAGGAAAUGGUCUCCGAUUGAUAUUACCCUUCGAGGAAGUCACGGCUAACUACGUGCCAGCAGCUGCGGGAAUACGUAGGUGGCGAGCGUUAUCCGGAUUUAGUGGGUUU